AACCUCAUAGGAGUUGGGAUGAAGAAGUUAUCCCACUUUCAAAUCAGGUGAUUCUAGUUUCCCAAUUUGGAAAUAAGACAACUUCUUCGUCGUUCAAAUUCAACACGAUGAAUCACUUUGUAAGAAGCUUGAUUUGGAUACAUAAAGUGCUGGAGAAUCACGAGGAAGUUGAAUAAAUCUCAUAUGAGUUGAGAUGAAGAAGUUAUCCCACUUUCAAAUAAGGUGAUUCCAGUUUCCCAUUUUGGAAUACCACAACAUCUUCAUCGUUCCUAUCAAACCAGGAUGAAUCACUUUUUAAGAA
rnacentral:lncRNA from 1 species